CCAAUAGCGUAUAUUAAAGUUGUUGCAGUUAAAAAGCUCGUAGUUGAAUUUCGGGAUUGGCGCAUCGGUCGUGCCUCACGGGGUAUGAACUGGUGCAGUCAAUUUCUCACCUUCUGGAGAACCGCGAUGUCCUUAAUUGGGUGCCGCGGGGAACCAGGACCUUUACUUUGAAAAAAUUAGAGUGUUUAAAGCAGGCAUUUUUGCUUGAAUACAUUAGCCUGGAAUAAUAAAAUAGGACGGCAUGGUUCUAUUUUGUUGGUUUCUAGGACCACCGUAAUGAUUAAUAGGGAUAGUUGGGGGCAUUAGUAUUCAAUUGUCAGAGGUGAAAUUCUUGGAUUUAUUGAAGACUAACUACUGCGAAAGCAUUUGCCAAGGAUGUUUUCAUUAAUCAAGAACGAAAGUUAGGGGAUCGAAGACGAUCAGAUACCGUCGUAGUCUUAACCAUAAACUAUGCCGACUAGGAAUCAGACGAUGUUAAUUUUUUAAUGACUCGUUUGGUACCUUACG
rnacentral:misc_RNA from 1 species